UCCCCGUUGAUUCGAUUCGGCUGGCGCCAUCGCUUUUACCGUUACAUCUCCGAACCCUGCCAUGUUGGAGAUCACCCGGCGCUCUCAGUCUCCCUCAGCUGCCAGGUGUAGAGGCCUCUUUACGUUGCUUUGCCUCUUAUGUCUCCAGCCUUGAGUUGAAGAAACUCUCUGACGACCUCCUCCACUCCCCUUGAAGCUCAGAAGAUGGAAGCGGAAAUUCCGGCCGACGAGCAAAAAUUUACAUCUCUGGCUUUUGUCUCGGUUAUAUUUCAGUUUAAUAAUUGGCAAUGACUCGCCAACCAUUUGAAGAGAAACACAAGUGACUGCUUUUUUGGUAAGUUAAACAGACUUUAUUUUUUUCUGUUACAACUUCACAGUUAUAAUGAACUGAUUUGUUUUCUGAAGGCUUUUAUUUAGACUUGUUUAUUUGACACAAGUACACCUUGCCUUUGGUCUUUAUAAAGACUUGUUUGUUUGUUUGUUUUUUUACCUUGACACAAUCUA
rnacentral:lncRNA from 1 species